CCUACGGGGGGCAGCAGUGGGGAAUAUUGGACAAUGGGGGCAACCCUGAUCCAGCCAUGCCGCGUGUGUGAAGAAGGCCCUCGGGUUGUAAAGCACUUUCAGUGAGGAAGAACGCCUUGUGGUUAAUACCCAUCAGGAAAGACAUCACUCACAGAAGAAGCACCGGCUAACUCCGUGCCAGCAGCCGCGGUAAUACGGAGGGUGCGAGCGUUAAUCGGAAUUACUGGGCGUAAAGCGCGCGUAGGUGGCUUGAUAAGACGGUUGUGAAAGCCCCGGGCUCAACCUGGGAACGGCAUCCGGAACUGUCAAGCUAGAGUGCAGGAGAGGAAGGUAGAAUUCCCGGUGUAGCGGUGAAAUGCGUAGAGAUCGGGAGGAAUACCAGUGGCGAAGGCGGCCUUCUGGACUGACACUGACACUGAGGUGCGAAAGCGUGGGUAGCAAACAGGAUUAGAUACCCGAGUAGUC
rnacentral:rRNA from 1 species